rnacentral:rRNA from 1 species
AAGCAUGCGACUCUUCGGAGGCGUUACACAGGUGCUGCAUGGCCGUCGUCAGCUCGUGUCGUGAGAUGUUUGGUUAAGUCCAGCAACGAGCGCAACCCCUGUUGCCAGUUACCAGCACGUGAAGGUGGGGACUCUGGCGAGACUGCCCAGAUCAACUGGGAGGAAGGUGGGGACGACGUCAGGUCAGUAUGGCCCUUAUGCCCAGGGCUGCACACGUACUACAAUGCCCAGUACAGAGGGGGCCGAAGCCGCAAGGCGGAGGAAAUCCUAAAAACUGGGCCCAGUUCGGACUGUAGGCUGCAACCCGCCUACACGAAGCCGGAAUCGCUAGUAAUGGCGCAUCAGCUACGGCGCCGUGAAUACGUUCCCGGGUCUUGUACACACCGCCCGUCACAUCAUGGAAGCCGGUCGCACCCGAAGUAUCUGAAGCCAACCGCAAGGAGGCAGGGUCCUAAGGUGAGACUGGUAACUGGGAUGAAGUCGUAACAAGGUAGCCGUAGGGGAACCUGCGGCUGGAUCACCUC